AUUAGGUAGUUGGUAGGGUAAUGGCCUACCAAGCCAAUGAUCAGUAGGGGCCAUGAAAGUGGGAGCCCGGAGAUGGAUUCUGAGACACUAAUCCAGGCCCUACGGGGUGCAGCAGGCGCGAAAACUUUACAAUGCUGGAAACAGCGAUAAGGGAACCUCGAGUGCCAGGAUACAAAUCUGGCUGUCGUGAUGCCUAAAAAACAUUGCAUAGCAAGGGCCGGGCAAGACCGGUGCCAGCCGCCGCGGUAACACCGGCGGCUCGAGUGGUAACCGCUAUUAUUGGGUCUAAAGGGUCUGUAGCCGGCCGGAUAAGUCUCUUGGGAAAUCUGGCAGCUUAACUGUCAGGCUUUCAGGAGAUACUGCUAGGCUCGAGACCGGGAGAGGUGAGAGGUACUUCAGGGGUAGGGGUGAAAUCCUGUAAUCCUUGGAGGACCACCAGUGGCGAAGGCGUCUCACCAGAACGGAUCUGACGGUGAGGGACGAAAGCUAGGGGCACGAACCGGAUUAGAUACCCGGGUAGUCCUAGCCGUAAACGAUGCUCGCUAGGUGUCGGCCACGGUGCGACCGUGGUCGGUGCCGUAGGGAAGCCGUGAAGCGAGCCACCUGGGAAGUACGGCCGCAAGGCUGAAACUUAAAGGAAUUGGCGGGGGAGCACCACAAGGGGUGGAGCUUGCGGUUUAAUUGGAUUCAACGCCGGAAAACUCACCGGGAGCGACAGCAGUAUGAAGGCCAGGUUGAAGACCUUGCUAGACUAGCUGAGAGGAGGUGCAUGGCCGUCGUCAGUUCGUACCGUGAGGCGUCCUGUUAAGUCAGGCAACGAACGAGACCCUCACCAUUAAUUGCUAGUUUUCUCUCCGGAGGGGGCGCACAUUAAUGGGACCGCUGGCGCUAAGAAAGAGGAAGGAGAGGUCAACGGUAGGUCCGUAUGCCCCGAAUCUCCUGGGCUACACGCGCGCUACAAAGGUUGGGACAAUGGGCUACGACAUCGAAAGGUGAAGUCAAUCCCGAAACCCAAUCGUAGUUCGGAUUGUGGGUUGUAACUCACCCACAUGAAGCUGGAUUCCGUAGUAAUCGCUUGUCAACAUCAAGCGGUGAAUAUGCCCCUGCUCCUUGCACACACCGCCCGUCAAACCACCCGAGUUGGGUCUCAGUAAGGAUGUCUCUCAUUGGGGCGUUCGAACUGAGAUUUAGCAAGGAGGGUUAAGUCGUAACAAGGUAUCCGUANNNNNNNNNNGGAUCA
rnacentral:rRNA from 1 species